UACGGGGGGAGCAAGCGUUGUUCGGAUUUACUGGGCGUAAAGGGCGCGUAGGCGGCGCAACAAGUCACUUGUGAAAUCUCCGGGCUUAACCCGGAGCGGCCAAGUGAUACUGUCGUGCUAGAGUGCGGAAGGGGCUACUGGAAUUCUCGGUGUAGCGGUGAAAUGCGUAGAUAUCAGGAGGAACACCAAUGGCGAAGGCAGCUCGCUGGGACGUGACUGACGCUGAGACGCGAAAGCUAGGGGAGCAAACGGG
rnacentral:rRNA from 1 species